ACCCCCAAACUCAAUGUAAGUGUGCCUCCAGUGAGUCAAAGCAGUGGGACCUUGGACAGCUCAGCAAGUCGUGGUGGGACCCUGGAUGUUUGGACCCAGGCUGCCUUCUUCUGUGAAUAUUCAUUGCCUGAUGAGACUGCAGCUAAGACUGAAUCCCUGACCUCCAGAAUCUCACAAUUCAUCUGUCCCUAGAACACUGAAGAUUGGAAGACUGAUGGCAUCUUGAAAUUCUGAAGUUCCACUCCUCAUGCCUAUUGCCACUCCAUGUACAUUUAUUAAUCUCCUGUGGAGUUUAUCAGGCAGUUCCACCUGGCAAUACAGCACACUGGUGCAAGAUAAUGACAAAGAGAGAAAAUCCUACAGUUCAGGAGCUCUGGGAACCAAUGUUAUUCAUGGAACUAGAGGCCAUGAAUUCCAAAAGUUCAUGGCUUUUGUCAGUAUCAAUCAGAGAUGUGGGUCGGGGUCAUGGCUGAGCGUUUAGAAAGAGACACUUUGCAGGCAUUGGCUGUACCAGCCACAGAGGCUCUCCAAUUAGACAGGAUAUUUGAUGCUUGCAAAUCUGGAACCUUUCCUUCUUGGAUGGUGUAAUUCUUCCUUAGUCCCAAUGCUUCUGCUGAGAUACUGUCUUAUGUGUUAGCCCUGGAAUUGCAGAGGCCACUCCUGGAGCCCCCAUUCCAGGUGUCAACACUGUGGGUAAUGAUUACCUGGGCUUGAUCUCAUUCUUCUAGCUGGAUAAGGAAACCACCAGCUCCAUAUAACCAGCUCAGCAUAUCUCAAUGAAUAGAGUUGAAGGACAGGCAAAGGGGCUUGUUUCUCUGGAGAGCACAGCUUGGCAGUCUCCCAUAGACAUCAACACAAACUCUCUUGUGACUCAUUCAAGUACAUGACACUUAUCCUCCUUUUACUUUUCUCUCUCAUCUCACAUUCAAUAUGUCUGUAAAGCUUAUUUGCUCUAAUUUUAAAAUAUGACCAGAAUCUGUCCGCCUUUCAAUACAUCUACUGAUGGGUCAAAGCUCUGACAUGUGAGCACAUUCAGACAUGGAUAAAAGUAUCAGAGGAGGUGAAUGGGACUUUUAAUAUUACUUUGGAAGUAGGGCCCAAAGGCCAACUUUUAGAACAGAUAUUAUUGUCCCAUUAUCAAACUCUUCAUUUUUGAAAGGCCACACCAGGAAACAAGCACCAUCUGAGAACCAGUGCCUUGCAGGCUGCCACUGGUCUGUGGACAGUCAGUCCUCAGCCCCUUCCAGCUUGCAGGAUGACAAACAAGAAGUAUCAGUGCACCCCCCACAAUUUCCCCAACCCAGAAACACAGGCUGUCAUGAUAGCUAUCAAUGUGAAAUGCAAUUGGAUGCCUGUGGUGCUUUGAUGUUUCACUGAUAUUGCAGAUAUAGGGCCAGUGGUCUGAUCGUAGGUUCAGGGGAUAGCUGUACACAAGGUGACAGCUAGAGAGGAUCUCCUUCUGAGGGUUCCAUCCAUUGUUGAUUCUCUAUGGUCUAGUUUUGAAAGUCAUAUAUUAUUUCCAUUCUUUUGUUGGGUUAGGUUUUAUUCUCUCUCUCUUUUUUUUUUUUUUUUUGAUUAUGUUAAGUCGGAUGGCAAGAGCAGCUGUUUCAAAGACAGCAGUAUGUAUUAUGGUAGCAAUUUUGGAUUUACUAUUGGCUUGUUUUGAAUUUCUUUAUUGCAUUUAUUGUUUUGUUUUUAUUGUUUGUAUUUUACUCUGUUCUGUUUGAUUUUUACUAUGUCCAAAGAUCUCUUCAGCUAUUUUGAAGACAACAAAAGGCAUUCUGUUAAUUAUUGCUGAUUUUGUAAUGUAUUAAAAUGUUGUAUCACUUA